CAGUCCCAGAUGACCCUGGUCACCCAACCUUGCAGUGCCCUACACAGGAACUGUAGGAAAUCGGUUUGAAGGAAUCUCCAGUUACAAGCCUUCCUCUCCUCUGAAGACCCAGUGAGGGUGGAGCUCAGUCAGAGAGCUGUUGAGGGACUGGUUAGGAUGAACACCUCUACAGCCAGAGAGGUGAGAGGUCACACAUGGUUUAGAUGGUAAAUAUUUGUUGCCUUAGUGGUUCAUCACAUAAGCAAAAGGUAAUAUGUUCCUUCAUCUAUGUUUAUUUACAUUAGUGUAAAUUAUCCACUGAUAUUGGUGUAAUUUCUCACCAGGCACAUGCAUUUGUUCUUUGAUAUUAUGAAGGUAAUUUGUGUCUAGUGUAUUUUCCCCCACUCGCCAGCGCAUUGUCCUCGAAUUCAUCCCUGAAGUAUUCCAGUCCCCUGUGAGAACCAUAGGAUUUGGUGGCGGAAUGUUCGCUGCCAUAGCGAUGGAAUAGGAGAUUUCUUUGCUUUCAGUCAUCGAGUUUCCCUGGCACCCAAAAGUACUUUAUGCAUUUGAAUGCUAAGCCGGACAGGAAAAUGGUCCAAUUCACACACUUAUCAAAAGAACAUCCCUACUGCCUCUGAUCUAGCGGACUCACUAAACACAUGCUUCGUUUGUAAAUUAUGUCUGAGUGUUCCCAUGGCUAUUUCAUAAUUAAAAAUACAAGAGAUUUG